UGUUGAGAGAACGUGUCAAAUCGAUCAGCGUACAAGAGGAACCCAAUCAAGUUGAUGAUGCCAAUUCACUCCAGGAAACAAAUCAAGAUGAACUAAAUGGACUUGAAUUAAGACACCUUGAGGUCUGCAAUCUCUUUGAGGACAGCAGGCAGAAUAUGGACUGUCAUUUUGAUUUUAUGUCGGUUCCUCCACAACUUUGAUGACUAUAAUUUGUUAUGGCAUGUCGAAAUACGAUUUGUCUUUUUACAACCAUUAAUUGAAAUUGUUAUAAUGAUCAUAAAUAUUACAUCCAUAUGCAAUUGCUUAGCAAACUCGAUAAUUGGGGGAGAACGUAUUCAUACAUGCAUGUUCUGCAGAAUUAAAUUCUUUUUGAAAUCCAUUGUUUUCUAUAUAUUAAGAUAUGCAUUCAUAAUUUGAUCCCUCCCACCUUCCCCAUCAACGAGUUUGCUACGCCCCUGUUAUGGAAUAGACAGAAUAAAUUAGAACAUAAAUAGAAAAUUUUUAUCAUUAGUCCAUAGUAAAAUGUAGACUUACUCAAGUAAGUUAAUUAAGGUUCAAAUAUCGUCACGUCCAAUAUAAUGCCAAUGUCAUUAAUAGGAAAGUACAUACAGGUUAGAGAUAUUAUGGGGAAAAA